GGUGGCUCAGAUGGUAAAGUUGUCUCCUGCAUUGCAGGUGGAUUCUUUACCAGCUGAGCCAUGAGGGAAGCCCAAGAAUACUGGAAUGGGUAGCCUUUCCCUUCUCCAGGGGAUCUUCCAAACCCAGGAAUCAAACCAGGGUCUCCUGUAUUGCAGGCAGAUUCUUCACCAACUGAGCUGUCAGGGAAGCCUUGAAUAACAUUGCUCUGAUUUAAAUUUCAACAGGAUCCCUCUGGUUGCUGCACUGAGAAGAGAGUAGAGGAAGCCAAGAGUGGAGGCAGGAGGGUUAGGAGUCUACUUCAGCAGUCCAGAUGAAAGGUGAUGGUGCUUGGACCAGGGUAGUAGCAACAAAGAUGAUGAAGAAUAGACAGAUUAUGUUUUUCAACGUAGAGUCCAUGGGAGAAGAAAGAGUCAAGGGUGAUUCCUGGGUUUUUAUUCAAGCAAAAGAUUAGAUGUCAAGGCCAUCCACAGAGGUAGGAAAGGCUGUACAUGGGCAGUUUUAUGUGAGAAGACCCAGAGUUUAGUUUUGAAGAUGUUGAAUUUGACAUGUCUUUUCAACAUCCAAAUAGAAAUAUCAAGUAGGCAGUUAGAAUGAUGAGUCUAGAAUUUGGAGAAAGAUCAGGACUGCCAAGACAGAUUUGGAUUUCUCAGCAUAUGGGUGGAGUUUAAAGCCUUGAGACUCAAGGAGACCAUCUGAAGAGUGAGUACAGAGAAGAGUAUCCCAAGACACCUCAACGUUAAAAGGUUGAGAAGAUUGGAGAAUCAGCAAAGGAGAUUGAGGAGGAGUGAGAUAGGAGGAAAACUAAGAGACUGGCACGUCCUGGAAUCCAGAGGGGGAAAAGUGCUUCAAGGAAAAAGGCAUGAAGUGUGCAGAAUGCUCCUGACAGUCAAGUAAGAUGUGACUGAGAAAUGAGAUUUGGCCAUUGGAUUUAGCAACAUGGAGGCCUCUGCAUUUAUAAUGAGAGCAGUUUCCAGGGAGAAAAAGCAUGACUGGUGUAGACUUAAGAGAGACUACGUGGGACAGAAUUGGAGACACUUAGUACAAACACCUCCUUCAGAAGUCUUGCAGAAGGGCAGCUGGAAGGGUAAAUGCAGUCAAGGGAAAGCUUCUUUUAAAAAUCAGCUUUAGGGAACUCGCUGAUGGUCCAGUGGUUAGGACUUAGGGCCUUCAAUACCGGGGGCAGGGUUCAGUCCCUAGUCAGGGAACUAAGAUCCUGAAAGAUGUGUGGCGCAGCCAAAAAAAAAAAAGUUUAUUGAGGCAUAAUUUACACUUAAGUAUUUACAUUUGAAGUAUGUGGUUCAAUGAGUUUUGAAAGAUACAUGUAUCCAUGUGAUGACUGCAACAAAGAUGUCUAACAUUUCCAUCACCCCCUCAAAAUUCCCUCGUGCCUCUUUAUAAUCCCUCUCACCAUCACCUCCCCAAUCCCCAGCACCACUGAUCUGCCUCCGUUCUCUUUUUACUAACUUUGUUUGCUUAUUUGGGGCUGUGCUGGGUCCUUCUUGCUGUGUGGAUCCCCUAGUUCGACAAGCGGGGGUUACUCUCUAGUUGUGGUGCAGGCUUCUCG
ensembl:lncRNA